rnacentral:lncRNA from 1 species
AGACAUAGUCCUGAUACAGCCACAAAGGUGCAACUAAGGACACAAAUCGAAGCCGCCGGGAGCCUUGAGAUCCUUCAGAUCGUUCCGGAGAAUUUGGAAGGUGCUCGCUGAUUUUUAAGUGAAUGAUGCAUUUAGAUGGGUCACAAUGCGAAAUGGUAUGUUUGUUAUUGCUCUUCGACGAAAAACUUUCGAUCCUGGCGUUAAACCACCGAGCUGGCGGCCUUUCUGAAAUGCAAUGUGUUGCGCAGGCGGUGGACAGAAUUUUCAGUGUUUUUGAUACAUCAGAUUGCUGCUGACAUUUCAAUAGCUUCUAUUAAACAGAUCAGUGCAAGGAGAGAGAUUUUAAACAGGCGUUCCGUCUCCCUAUCCGUGCCACCAUGACAUGCCUGAGGAAGCUCACAACGAGAA